AAUUGAAAAUAAUAUACAUGUAAUGAAAAAUAUAUUUUUCAUUAAUUUGAAUUCCCGCGCAAUCUGACCGAAACAUCAAAACAGUAAUUUAUAAUUCUAUGUUUGAGUCUAAUCUGUGGUAAAGAAAACUUGAAGGUAAUCUAUGGAUCUCACAAAAAGCGCUCGUCAUUGUGGAUAAAAUUACUAUUGAUCCUUUAUUGUGAUUUAAUUAAGAAACGACACAAUUAUAAACAUUAAAUGUUGUUUCUUUAUUUACAGGUACGAUCUUGUGUUAAUACUAAAUGUGAAAUUCAACUAAUGAAUACUAAAUGUGAACUAUGUAAACUAAUUACAAUAAAACUUUAUUUACAGAGAAACUCAAUUGUGUUUUGUGUCGCCCAAAACUUGGGAAAAUACCUUAUAAAACAACAUUUAUUGUAAGAAGAUGGAAAAAUUAAAAUUUAUGUUCCAAGUAAAACCAACAACAGAUGGAAAGUCAAACUUUAUUGCCAUAACCUUAAUUGCCACGCAAGAUGACAAAGUCUACUUAAUCCCUGAAGAAUAUCAAACAAUAUCGUUUCAUAAACAUAUCUUAGCCUCGAAAAGCUUCACCACUGUGAAAAAUACAUUAAAAAAACGAUAUCAAACCAGAAAUGUUUGGAUAAAAACUACAGAGGAUAUUUUAAAAACAUAUGUUGAUGAGGACGGUAACAUGAUUUUCCAGGACCAAUUUCUAGAGGAAAGUACCCAAGAACAAUUAUCUUUUGAGAGUAAAAAGUAUUCUGAAGAUCCUGUAAUAAAAAUUUUAGAAAAAUUAGUUGAAGAUCAACAAAACAAAGAAAAACAAAGUGUAAAAAAGUUAGCCGAGAGAUUUGUUAUUGAAAAGUUUGACGGAAGAAACUCAAGUGCAUAUGAGUGGAUGAAUGUAUUUGAAAAAGAAUGUACAAGGUUUGACAUAAUAAAAGAUGAAGAAAAAAUUGAAAUCUUCCGACUAUUUUUAGAAAAAUCAUGCACUGAUUGGUAUUCUUCCAUGAUGAUAAAGUUAAGUCUACACUCCGAAUGGUCAAAAUGGAAAUCAAGUUUCUUGCAAACUUAUGCCAAUAAAGGUUGGACAUCUAGCAAGUAUGCUUUAUCGUUCAAGUAUCAAUCAGGAUCUUUACUAGAGUAUGCAGUGAAAAAGGAAAAACUUUUACUCGAGAUAAGGAAAACAAUGGAUGAAGGCACCCUAAUUGAUAUAAUUGCUGCAGGCUUACCAGAUUUUAUAACAGAUAAAAUUAACAAAGAAGAAAUUUUACAUACAAGCAAUUUAUUCAAUGAACUAGGCAAAUUAGAACAUCUGGUCACAAAGAAAAAAAAUAUCUUCAAGAAAAAAGAAGAUUUAAAGCCAAUUAAAGAAAAAUGCAGUAUAUGUGAAAAAUUAAAAAAAGGCAUACGCUUUCAUUCAGAAGAUUCCUGUUGGUUUAAACAAAAGACAAAUAUUGAAAAGGAUAAAAAGCAAAUAAAACUUAUAAACAAUUCAGAAUUAGAAUGUGAAUUACAGUGUGAAGACCAAAAAAACUAAUAGUGCCGCCAUUGAUCAAAAUAAAAUUAGUACUCAAUGAAAAUAUUGAAGUAUUCGGAAUCUAUGACUCGGGGUCUAAUGUCUCAUUGAUAAACUCAAAAUUAUUAAAGAUAAAGAAUGAGGAUACCGGUCUCUCCAACAAGACAAAUUUAAAAACGAUUAAUGGCGUUAAGAAGGCAAAUGGAAUAAUUACUCUUGAUGUUGGCAUAUUUGAUUUGAAAAAAAAAAUGAAUGUUUUUGUAAUAGACAAAGAAAAUUUUGAUUAUGAUUUUUUAGUGGGACUAGACUGCAUAAAGGAAUUUUAUCUAGUUCAAAAUGAAAACUUGGAAAUUAGCCAGAAAAUACCAAUACAAAGAAAUGAAAUUGUUUCUAAGGAAUCAAAUAAAAGAAAUACGGAUUUUAAGAAAAUAAAAUCCGAAAAUUUAGUAAACUUCAACGAAGACUUCAGUGAAGAAAACUUCAAAAUUUGUAUUAACCAUCUGGACUAUCUGGAAAAGGCUUUGAUUGAUGAAUUAAUAUCCAAAAAUAAAACAGUGUUCGCAAAGGACAAAUAUGACAUAGGAAAGGUAACUGAUUAUGAAGCACACAUUGAUCUGCUAGUAGAAAAAUAUUGCAGUAAAAGGCCAUACCGUUGCACAAUGGAAGACAAAAAAGAAAUUGAGAACCAGAUAGACACAAAACUGCAUUUGUGACACAAGAAGGUCACUAUCAAUGGACCUGCUUACCAUUCGGAUUGAAAACUUCUCCAGCCAUCUUCCAGAGGAUAAUGUGUAAUAUAAUACGGAAGCACAAGCUCACAGAGUUUACGAUGCCAGUAUACUAGGAGUGGGAGCUGUCCUAAAACAACCACAAGAAAACAGCGAAGAGAAACCAGUAGCAUACUUCUCAAAGAAAUUGAAUCAAGUACAAAAAAGAAAGAAAGCUGUUUAUCUGGAAUGUCUUGCAAUUAAAGAAUGUGUAAAAUAUUGGCAACAUCUAUUGAUAGGUAGGAAAUUUAUUGUCUUUUCCGAUCACAAGCCACUGGAGAAUAUGAACAUAAGGUCAAGAACAGACGAAGAAUUAGGUGAUCUGUCAUACUAUUUAUCACAAUAUGAUUUCCAAAUUAAAUAUUCUCCUGGAAAAUACAACACUGAAGCUGAUUGCCUGAGUAGGAAUCCAGUCCUCGAACCCCAUGAAAACCAAGAUGAACAGUUAAAAAUAGUUAACACAAUAACACUAGAAGACAUCUUAAAAGAUCAAAUAAAAAAUGAAUAUAUACAGUGCAGAAAAGAUAAGUUACAAAUAAGGAACAAUAUUUACUACAAGAAAGUAAACAAAAAAGAGAAAAUAAUUAUAUCGGAGAAAUUCAGCUUAGAAUUUAUGAAAAAUGUCCAUACAGAUCUUGGUCACAUAGGAAUUAAACAGAUGCAAAGAAUGAUUAGCUCAGUGUAUACAGCAGAAAACAUGUCAAAAAAUAUAAAAAGUAUCUGUGAAAAUUGUAUAGUAUGUUUAAAAAAUAAAUCAAGAGGACAAAAUAAAUAUGGAUUGAUGUCCCACUUGGGUCCUGCUACAAAACCUUUUCAGAUAUGCUCUAUUGAUAC